rnacentral:rRNA from 1 species
UACGAAGGGGGGCUAGCGUUGCUCGGAAUCACUGGGCGUAAAGGGUGCGUAGGCGGGUCUUUUAAGUCAGGGGUGAAAUCCUGGAGCUCAACUCCAGAACUGCCUUUGAUACUGAAGAUCUUGAGUUCGGGAGAGGUGAGUGGAACUGCGAGUGUAGAGGUGAAAUUCGUAGAUAUUCGCAAGAACACCAGUGGCGAAGGCGGCUCACUGGCCCGGUACUGACGCUGAGGUGCGAAAGCGUGGGGAGCAAACA